CGUCAAAGAUGAUGAGAAGGAGUUGCUUUCAAAGGAAUACGAAGAGAGAAUUUCAGAACUCAUCAAGAAUUUGAAGAUCAAAGAUGAUGAGAAAGAGCUACUUUCAAAGGAAUACGAAGAGAAAAUUUCAGAACUCAACAAGAAUUCAAAAAUCAAAGAUAAUGAGAAAGAGCUACUUUCAAAGGAAUACGAAGAGAAAAUUUCAGAACAAAUCAAGAAUAUGAAGAUCAAAGAUGAUGAGAAAGAGCUACUUUCAAAGGAAUACGAAGAGAAAAUUUCAGAACUCAACAAGAAUUUGAAAAUCAAAGAUGGUGAGAAAGAGCUACUUUCAAAGGAAUACGAAGAGAAAAUUUCAGAACUCAUCAAGAAUUCAAAAAUCAAAGAUAAUGAGAAAGAGCUACUUUCAAAGGAAUACAAAGAGAGAAUUUCAGAACUCAUCAAGAAUUUGAAGAUCAAAGAUGAUGAGAAAGAGCUACUUUCAAAGGAAUACGAAGAGAAAAUUUCAGAACAAAUCAAGAAUUCGAAGAUCAAAGAUGAUGAGAAAGAACUACUUUCAAAGGAAUACGAAGAGAAAAUUUCAGAACAAAUCAAGAAUAUGAAGAUCAAAGAUGAUGAGAAAGAGCUACUUUCAAAGGAAUACGAAGAGAAAAUUUCAGAACUCAUCAAGAAUCUGAAGAUCAAAGAUGAUGAGAAAGAGCUGCUUUCAAAGGAAUACGAAGAGAAAAUUUCAGAAGCCGUCAAAAAUGU
rnacentral:lncRNA from 1 species